rnacentral:lncRNA from 1 species
GGUCACCCGCCUUUGGGAGUGCCCUAGCUGUUCACGUGCCAUGCAUGCAGCUCAUCCCUGGAAUGCGACCUUCACAGGUCAUAUCUUUCCAGUGGCUCUAUACUUGUGUUACGCCUAAACGCGUCAUCCACUCUACACGCACGGACUCUCGUGACCUAGGCCUCUCCCUUUCUGAUAACUGGUGUGUGGUCUGGGAUCCAC